rnacentral:rRNA from 1 species
UACAGAGGUCUCAAGCGUUGUUCGGAUUCAUUGGGCGUAAAGGGUGCGUAGGCGGCUCGGUAAGUCGGGUGUGAAAUCUUGGAGCUUAACUCCGAAACUGCAUUCGAUACUGCCGUGCUUGAGGACUGGAGAGGAGACUGGAAUUCACGGUGUAGCGGUGAAAUGCGUAGAUAUCGUAAGGAAGACCAGUGGCGAAGGCGGGUCUCUGGACAGUUCCUGACGCUGAGGCACGAAGGCCAGGGGAGCAAACGGG